GCCGAAGUGGCGGAAUCGGUAGACGCAGCGGACUCAAAAUCCGCCGCCCUUAAAAGCGUGUGGGUUCGAGUCCCACCUUCGGCA
rfam:Xanthomonas fragariae strain PD5205 genome assembly, chromosome: 1